rnacentral:rRNA from 1 species
CCUACGGGGGGCAGCAGUGGGGAAUAUUGGGCAAUGGGCGCAAGCCUGACCCAGCAACGCCGCGUGAAGGAAGAAGGCUUUCGGCUUGUAAACUUCUUUUCUCAGGGACGAAGCAAGUGACGGUACCUGAGGAAUAAGCCACGGCUAACUACGUGCCAGCAGCCGCGGUAAUACGUAGGUGGCAAGCGUUAUCCGUAUUUACUGGGUGUACAGGGCGUGUAGGCGGGACUGCAAGUCAGAUGUGAAAACCACGGGCUCAACCUGUGGCCUGCAUUUGAAACUGUAGUUCUUGAGUACUGGGGAGGCAGACGGAAUUCCUAGUGUAGCGGUGAAAUGCGUAGAUAUUAGUAGGAACACCAGUGGCGAAGGCGGUCUGCUGGACAGCAACUGACGCUGAGGCGCGAAAGCGUGGGGAGCAAACAGGAUUAGAUACCCUGGUAGUC